rnacentral:misc_RNA from 1 species
AAGUCGUAACAAGGUCUCCGUUGGUGAACCAGCGGAGGGAUCAUUACCGAGUUUACAACUCCCAAACCCCUGUGAACAUAUCAAUUGUUGCCUCGGCGGAUCAGCCCGCUCCCGGUAAAACGGAACGGCCCGCCAGAGGACCCCUAAACUCUGUUUCUAUAUGUAACUUCUGAGUAAAACCAUAAAUAAAUCAAAACUUUCAACAACGGAUCUCUUGGUUCUG